rnacentral:rRNA from 1 species
AGAACGAACGCUGGCGGCAGGCUUAACACAUGCAAGUCGAGCGCCUGUAGCAAUACAGGAGCGGCAGACGGGUGAGUAACACGUGGGAACGUGCCCAAAGGUACGGAACAACUCCGGGAAACUGGAGCUAAUACCGUAUGUGCCCGAGAGGGGAAAGAUUUAUCGCCUUUGGAUCGGCCCGCGUCUGAUUAGCUAGUUGGUGGGGUAAUGGCCUACCAAGGCGACGAUCAGUAGCU